CAGACUAUAGACAAACAGGAACCAUGCAGUUUAGUCAACGGGACAGGGAUGGCCCACACACAUCCAAAAUCAGUAUAUGUAAACGGAGCUGCUAAAAAUCAGUCGACUGAGACUUCGCGAAGUCUCAGUCGACUAUGCAGCCGUUCGAUCUCGUGUUGCUUGUAGAUUCACGCUGGCCCAUUUUUGUCUUUGUUUCGGCCUGUGUACGUCACAGACCGGCCCGUCUUGCUUGUUUUUUUUUGGAGCGAUUCUUCUGAUGUCUUGUUUGGGCCGGCCUUGAUUCGCGCGAGCAUCUCGCGUUUCUUUUUGUGGGCUGGGGCAGGUGAAGAGGAAGUAGCAGCCCCAUGGUAAUUAAGAGGAGGGGAUUGGCAGUCGUCAGUCCAUUUCAUCCUCUGUCUCUCUCUAUCCUUUCUAUGUGAAAAUCCGAAGAUCUCUGAAGCGAAUCGAAGAGAAAUUGCCGUGCUCCUCCACAGCCAACGAGAGGAUGGGCGAUGCUGCGCUGAUGAGGAGAUGGUUUGCAGAGUUUGCCUGAGCCCUUGCUACCGCGAGAGCAGGUCAAGCGACAUUAGCAUAUUGUGCCAUGCAACGAAAGGAAUAGUUUCAACAACCUGACAGGAGAUACGCUGAAGUUUAAGGCAAACAAACGGACGUACACCGUCAACUGUCACAAGGGGCCUAGAGAGAGUGCAAUGUAUGGGAGUGAGUGGAGGAAGUUUGUUUCAGACAACAAGUUGGGGAAGGGUCAGCUGGUUCUCUUCUACUUGGACCAGCCUUCCCCAAGGGCAGUUGUCUGUGUGAUUCAAUUCGGGAAUGACACUGAAGAUGAAGGAUCCAAGGAUGAUGAUGACUACAUGGAAGUUUCAGAUGAAGAAGACGAGGAUGGAGAAGCCAACAACAAACGAUGAUGACGACAUGAUUCGCACUAGGGUUCUUGAUCUGACUCAAGAAGAGGAAUCGGAUCUGGGAGGGCUCCUUCUGCUCAGCAAUGGAUUCAUAGGGUUGCCAUUUUGUGCACCGCCUCACGAGGACUGAUGUUUUUUUUUGGGGAGCAUGGUAUGUAUCCAUUUUCUCACUGUUUUUUUCUUUUUUCUUUUUUGCAUGUAUAGUUUUUAAGUAAGUGGUGCAAACACUUUUGUUCUGUGUUAAUCCUGAAACGGGGAUCUUUUGCAUUAGUGAAACUGUUAUUUCUGAAAUUUGUUUUUUACUUUUGUUUUUAUUAGUUUAACUAUAACUCAAAACCUUUCUUGAAAUCUCUUAAAUCUGGAAAUGUUUUUACUUUUUGUUGCUAGUUUUAAUUUGAAAUUGCUUUUUAAUUUGUUUUAAUCCCACACUAGGCAUGCAACUGCAUGUCUUGUAGCUUGCACUACUAGAAAAAGGGCUAUAGAUGGGAUUGACACUA